UUUAUUUUUAUUUAAUAUGGUAUCGCGAUAGUUAAUAUCGCAUCUUUCAGUAAAUGAAACCCAACUGUCAGUUAUAUAUGAAUCCAGUUUAUGGUCCUGAUUUUUUUUUUAUCAGAAACGGAGUUAUUAUUUUAGCUUUAUAUUUUUUUUCGUAUGAGAAAAACGCGACGAGGAUUAUUGAGCCAUUCAAUAAUUAUUAUUUCCAAGUUAUAACUGACUUAGCAAAGUCAUGUUAUUUAUUAAUCGAAAAACAGAAGCAGUUAUAUUUUAUUAGUGCUACUAGAAGUCGAGAAAUUAUUCCGACUGCAACGCAGAUUAAAUCUACGGAUUUAAUCUAGAUUCAUAUUACAGUAUUAGCAUCACCAAGGCAUGAGGAUAUACUUCAUUUAUUCAUCAAUAUCAUUCUCAUACUUUACAAACUCUUACAAUCAAUUUUCGUUCAUACCUUCCAAUUACACCACAAUAAUUUGGCAUUUGCAUAAAGAAGAAAAGAGAAAGAAGAAUAGGAAAAGGAAAAAGGAAAAGUGUUGCCACCAUCCUUUGCUCCCCUCCUUUCCUUCCACCAUCUACCACUUUAUACCAUGCCCUUUAUUCCCACACAUCUAUCAAUUCAUAAGUUUUCUCUCGCAACCAAGAAUUUCAUCAGCUGGAUGAUCCGAACUUCCAUCGUCCAUCAAAUUAAUAACAGCAACAACGGGAUCUUUUCAUAAAAGGUUUCAUUCUUCAAUUCAAUUAAUAUGUCAAUUUCCUUAAAGCCAAAACAUUCAGGUUUUCAACAGCUCAACUUAAGGUUCCAUCUUGUAACCUUCUCGCCGAUUUCAUUUUUACAGUAUGUUAUAAACAACCAAUUGUUUCAGUUUCAACUCACCACAUGAACAAGAACAUUCAAGGUCAAGCGCAAGAGUAAGAACUACACAAGGAGUUAGAGUACCUUAGCAAAACUUUGCUAUCAGGUGGGCAAUUCCUUACGCGUAAAUAAAAUGCUAUGCAAAUGUUAUGCUUUAAAAUGCAAAUUGGAUCUUCAAGUAUGGUAUGCUUUAUUACGCUUAAAUGAGUUAAGCUUUAUUAUGCUGCACGUUAAAUGAUUUACGCUAUGCUGUUUAUACUAUUUACGCCCUAUGUAAUUUACGCUUGAUUACACUUAUUUACGCUUGAAUGCUUUACGCUGAUAAGUUUAUGCUUAUGUUUGAUGCUUGCGUCUGUUGGGGGAGGCCUCCCUCAACAGUACGAUGCCGUGUCCGUUGAGGAGGGCCUUCCUCACGGCGCGAUGCCUGUGUCCGCUGAGAGAGGCCUCUCUCGCGGCGCGAUGCCAGUAUGCCAGUAUGCCAGUGUUACAGCGUCUAUUGGGGGAGGCCUCCCUCAAUAGUACGAUGCCGUGACCGCUGAGGGAGGCCCCCUUCACGGUGCGAUGCCCGUGUUCGUUGGGGAAGGCCUUCUCCACGACACGAUGCGUGUUGAUGAUUGUUAAUGAUGAAAAAUGCGCUCAUGCUGUUUAUGAAUAUGGAAAUGUUUAAUGAGCAAAGGAUUUGAAAGAAACUUAUGCCUCUUAUGCGAAGUUGUGUUUUGUUGUUGAUAUUAUGUUAUAUGCUUGGCACUGCCCACUGAGUACUAUUGUACUCAGCCCUUCGUAUGUUUAUGUUUGUGCAGGUUGAGUUGUGAUGGGCGAUGAAGUGUUACUGAGUGGAGUUUUUGUUGAACUUAAAGUAGGCUCAGAAAGGAUACAUGUCUUCAUACAUGUAUCUCAGUUAUGCAUUCCGCUGUAAACACUGAUUAUUUCAGUUACACCUUCCGUUGCAAACUCUGAUAAUGUUUUAGCCAAGCCCCUAACGAUGCCUUUUUCCUUUUAAGGAAUAUAACGCUUAUACAAGUUCGUUGAGUACCCUUUUUAUGCGAA